UUCAGUACAGUUGAAAGCAGAGUGUAACAAGGGAUAUGUCAAGGUAAAGCAGGUAGGUGUAUUUAUAACUUGGAAUUUUAUACUCGAUGAUUUUCUUAUGCUGUUGACUUUAGAGUGUCUGUGCCAGCCAGUGAAGGCUUCUCUGUCAUGUAUGGAAGUGAUGGAGUAAUAUAGGUGAACAUAAGGCAAGGUGCUUGGCAUAUAGUAAGUGGUUAACAUAGCAGUGGCUAUCUUACUGUAGGUGCUGUUGCUAUUAUUAUAAUUAUUUUCUGAUUGUUUAUUCCAUAGGUAGGAGUCAAUCCCACCAGCAUUGACUCAGUCGUAAUUGGGAAGGACCAAGAGGUGAAGCUGCAGCCUGGCCAGGUUCUCCACAUGGUGAAUGAACUUUAUCCAUAUAUUGUAGAGUUUGAGGAAGAGGCAAAGAACCCUGGCCUGGAAACACACAGGAAGAGAAAGAGAUCAGGCAACAGUGAUUCUAUAGAAAGGGAUGCUGCUCAGGAAGCUGAGGCUGGGACAGGGCUGGAACCUGGGAGCAACUCUGGCCAAUGCUCUGUGCCCCUAAAGAAGGGAAAAGAUGCACCUAUCAAAAAGGAAUCCCUGGGCCACUGGAGUCAAGGCUUGAAGAUUUCUAUG
rnacentral:sRNA from 1 species